CAGGGAAUAGUUUAGAAAGAAUUUCAGCUUUGGGUGCUGAUGGUGGGGCUGUUGUCUCUUCCCUGA
rnacentral:tRNA from 1 species